rnacentral:tRNA from 1 species
UUGUAGCUUAUUAAUUAAAGCAUAGCACUGAAGUUGCUAAGAUGGGUAAUAAAUAUAUCCCAAAAACA